UAAAGCGUCCGUAGCUGGCCACGCAAGUCCAUCGGGAAAUCUCCUCGCUCAACGAGGAGGCGUCCGGUGGAAACUGCAUGGCUUGGGACCGGAAGAUCCAGAGGGUACGUCUGGGGUAGGAGUGAAAUCCUGUAAUCCGGGACGGACCACCGGUGGCGAAAGCGCUCUGGAAAGACGGAUCCGACGGUGAGGGACGAAAGCUCGGGUCACGAACCGGAUUAGAUACCCGGGUAGUCCGAGCUGUAAACGAUGUCUGCUAGGUGUGGCACAGGCUACGAGCCUGUGCUGUGCCGUAGGGAAGCCGUGAAGCAGACCGCCUGGGAAGUACGUCUGCAAGGAUGAAACUUAAAGGAAUUGGCGGGGGAGCACUACAACCGGAGGAGCCUGCGGUUUAAUUGGACUCAACGCCGGACAUCUCACCAGCAUCGACAGUGUGCAGUGAAAGUCAGUGUGAUGAGCUUACUGGAGCCACUGAGAGGAGGUGCAUGGCCGCCGUCAGCUCGUACCGUGAGGCGUCCUGUUAAGUCAGGCAACGAGCGAGACCCGCACCCUUAAUUGCCAGCAACACCCUUGAGGUGGUUGGGUACAUUAAGAGGACUGCCAGUGCCAAACUGGAGGAAGGAACGGGCAACGGUAGGUCAGUAUGCCCCGAAUGUGCUGGGCUACACGCGGGCUACAAUGGUCGAGACAGUGGGAUGCUACGCCGAAAGGCGACGCUAAUCUCCGAAACUCGAUCGUAGUUCGGAUUGCGGGCUGAAACUCGCCCGCAUGAAGCUGGAUUCGGUAGUAAUCGCGCCUCAG
rnacentral:rRNA from 1 species